rnacentral:rRNA from 1 species
AUUGAACGCUGGCGGCAGGCCUAACACAUGCAAGUCGAGCGGUAACACAGAGAGCUUGCUCUCGGGUGACGAGCGGCGGACGGGUGAGUAAUGUCUGGGAAACUGCCUGAUGGAGGGGGAUAACUACUGGAAACGGUAGCUAAUACCGCAUAAUGUCGCAAGACCAAAGGAGGGGGUACCUUAGGGCCUCUUGCCAUCGGAUGUGCCCAGAUGGGAUUAGCUAGG